GCAUAACGCGAAGAACCUUACCACCUUUUGACAUGCCUGAACCGCCACAGAGAUGGAUUGGUGCCUUCGGGAACUCUGACACAGGUGCUGCAUGGCUGUCGUCAGCUCGUGUCGUGAGAUGUUGGGUUAAGUCCCGCAACGAGCGCAACCCUUAUCAUUAGUUGCUACGCAAGGGCACUCUAAUGAGACUGCCGGUGACAAACCGGAGGAAGGUGGGGAUGACGUCAAGUCCUCAUGGCCCUUAUGGGUAGGGCUUCACACGUCAUACAAUGGUCGGUACAGAGGGUUGCCAAGCCGCGAGGCGGAGCCAAUCCCAGAAAGCCGAUCGUAGUCCGGAUUGUUCUCUGCAACUCGAGAGCAUGAAGUCGGAAUCGCUAGUAAUCGCGGAUCAGCAUGUCGCGGUGAAUACGUUCCCGGGUCUUGUACACACCG
rnacentral:rRNA from 1 species